rnacentral:lncRNA from 1 species
CCUGGUAUGUGAAUGUGGCACUAGCAUGGUUAAACUGCUACGUUUAUUACUUCCAAAGAAUUGUAGCACGUUUAUUAAAGCAUGCCUCAUUAGAAGGAACAAUAAAUAUAGAAAGUAAAAAGAUUGUGACAAUGUGUCAUCAUGUGGGAUAAAUAUAGAGCUUUAUUAAAGCAUGCCUCAUUAAAACCUUCCAUCCCUAAGAAGUAAAAGAGUACAAUGCCAUGCUCUAAAUUACAAAAGGAAAUAAAAAUUACAAAAGGAUAAGAAAAUUACAAAGGAAAAAUAAAUUACAAAGAUAGAACUGCACGACUAGGUGCCCCACGGCCUCCGCAUCUCUCUUGGUGUGUCCAUCUUUGUGCCGACGCAGGUGACCGGUUCCUCCGUGCCCCAUGGCCAUGGACAACAAAAUUCCACAACGUUUGCACUUCGCUUUACGCACGUUGACACCAUCCUCCACAAAUAUUUCUUCAUCAUAGUAGUUCCAGAUGUCUGAGCUUCUUCGCUGAACUUUUGGGGCAUCCAUGUUUGAGUGUUGGAACUUGAAAAUGAUAUGGUGUUUGAGUGUGAGAAAUAAGAGGGGUAGACAGCCCUUUAUAUAGCCAAAAAACUUACUUUUUUACACGGGCCGGCACGGUAGACAAGCUAGGCACGGUUAGGCACGUUAGAUAAGUUAGGCACAUUUGGCACGUUUGACAAGCUAGGCACGUUAGACAAGUUAGGCACACCAGCACAUUAGAAAUAAAAUGAGGCAAAGUGUCAUCAUGUGGGAUAAAUCUUGAGCUUUAUUAGUGACUGCCUCAUUAAAACCUUCCAUCCCUAAGAAGUAAAAGAGUACA